rnacentral:rRNA from 1 species
AUGCUCGCUCUUUCGGGGGCUGAUUCCAUCAGUGACAGCGAGGGGGACAUCCAGCAAGUCCAUGCCAUCUCGCGGCCAACUCUGGAUGGUGGCGUCUCACCCAAAGCUUUCCAUCUACUAGCCACCAUGCAGAAUAGAGAGGUGUUGAUCUUGGUGGACAGUGGCAGCUCGACUUCUUUCAUCAACAAGAAACUAGCUGACCAUCUUACAGGUGCAGUUCCUCUGCUUCGGCCCUCACGGGUUAAGGUAGCUGACGGGGGCGAACUUCUCUGUACAGAGUCCAUACCAUGCUGUCAGUGGUCGUCGCAAGGGAUUGAUUUUGUCACUAAUAUGAAGAUCCUGCCGCUGGGUGUAUACGAUGCUAUCCUUGGCAUGGAUUGGUUGGAGCAGCACAGUCCGAUGACUGGAAGCACAAACAUCUCCAGAUUCCUACACCAAUAG